CUCCAGCUUCUAGAAAGGCAGCAGUACAGAGGAAAGCUCCAGACCUUGCGAAGAAGCUAACCAUGGGCAGUCUGAAGACCAUAUUCCUGAUCGCCCUCAUCCUGACUCUCUCUUAUCAAUACACAGAAGCACUGCGUCCUCGGAUUCCGUCAGACUGUUGUGAGAGUUAUAGGAUGGGAGGACAAAUUCCCCGCAACAGAGUGCAGAAUUACUACAGGACUCCCAGUGACUGCCGCUUAGAUGCUGUUGUGUUUGUUGCAAGGAAUAGAAGGCUUGUCUGUUGUGAUCCCAGGCUGUCAUGGGUGAAAAAAUUAAUGUCACAGCUGAGAGAAAUUAAACCAUAAUUUUGGAGAAACAAAGGAAAAACCUCCGCCAAACACGAAGGAAGACAAAGAGCCACUCUCUUCCUUUCCAGCUUCUCUGCUUCCUAUGCUUUUUUGCCACUCACAGGCAAACAUCUAUAAACAUUUAAACAGCACUGAAAAUGGUGUAGCUGUGGCCACUGAUGCACUGUCAGAAAUGCAACAUCAAAGAAGAGGAUGCCAAUUUGCAUAAUGAAUAUGUAUACAUGUAAAUUAAGAUAUACCGUAACUGUUAUAGUUUAACUAGAAAUUCAAUGCAUCUCACCAUUAUGGGGAAGGCUGUGAUCUAGGUGAUAAGCAACUACAAGGCCUCUGUUCCUUUCUGUUUUAAAGGGUCUUUUAGAGUCUUCUGAAGAAUGGUAGUAUAUAAAUAUAAUAAAUAAUAAUCUUUAACUGGAAUAGGUUUAAGGAGAUGUAUCUCCUCCAACAACCUUCCAAAUAUAGAAGGGUCCGUCAGAUUACGUAUAUAGGCUAGUUAAUGCUACAUGUUUCCCGAUCUCCUCCCCAAAAUCUAGGAAUUGUAGUUUGUGGCCUACUAAGAAAUGCCUCAGUCUUUAUUCAGUGACAUUUCCCAGAAUUGGUUGGGCUGGAAACCACAAUCAUUAUUAGACCAUGGUCAACACUGCUUUAAAACUGAACUGCAGACACAGACAUGGUCAUGGAAGGAGCAGAAUAACGGGCAGAGUCUUUGCGGGCCCCUUCUCCACCAUUUGCACUGUGGCCUUUCUGAAUUCGUUCAUAAAAUUAGCUAACACCAGAUUACGUAUGAAACCAUCAAUAGCAACUGGCAAGCAAGCUGUAUUUAUGACUGUCAUAUAUACUCAAUGCCGCUGCCAUCGCUGGGCUAUUGACGCCUCCUUGCUUCCUUGGCCCUUCCUGGCUUCCUCCCUUCCCCCAUUUCUUCCCUGCAAGUACCUGCACUGUCCAAAGCAGCUCUCAAAGGGGGUCUUCCCCCCCUCCUCCUGCUACAGAAAUUAAGCUGAAGACUUCUUGGAGCAGGACCUUUUCCAUGCUUGGCAAAGUCCCUCCUGAAGGAAGCCUGGCAACAGCCUCAGUCAAGAAGACCUUUUGUUCUGUUAGGCUGCAAUUCUUCCUGCUGACUGACAUUAGCUUAAACUUUCCUAUAUUCAUGGAAGUUUUAAAGAAGAAAGA